UUUAUUCUUUCACACGUGCCUUGAUUGAUUUAGGUGUUAUGCACUCUUUUAUCUCAAUUGAUUUUGCUAAGAAGUUAAUUAUUAAGCCUGUACUAUUUGGUAAAACACUAGUUAUGGAAACUCCUGUUAAGGACUUACUUAUUUCAAACUUGGUUUACUAUUCUUGUAAAGUUAAAGUUGCAGGUAAGGACCUAACAGUAGACCUUCUACUCAU
rnacentral:lncRNA from 1 species